AACAAACGCUGGCGGCGUGCAUAACACAUGCAAGUCUAAAGGGAAUGUCGGCUUCGGCUGACUAGUACCUUGGCGAACGGGUGAGUAACACGUGGGUAAUCUAACCUCGGGUCUGGGAUAACCUUGCGAAAGCGGGGCUAAUACCGGAUAAGACCACGCCCUGCACGCAGGGUGCGGUAAAAGGUGGCCUCUUCCUGAAAGCUAUCUCCUGAGGAUGAGCCCGCGGCCUAUUAGCUAAUUGGUAGGGUAACGGCCUACCAAGGCGACGAUGGGUAGCCGGCCUGAGAGGGUGUACGGCCACACUGGCACUGAGAUACGGGCCAGACUCCUACGGGAGGCAGCAGUGGGGAAUUUUGCGCAAUGGGGGAAACCCUGACGCAGCAACGCCGCGUGAGUGAUGAAGGCCUUCGGGUCGUAAAGCUCUUUUAGUGGGGAAGAAGACCACCAGGGUUAAUACCCCGGGUGAAUGACGGUACCCACAGAAAAAGUUCCGGCUAACUACGUGCCAGCAGCCGCGGUAAAAC
rnacentral:rRNA from 1 species